GGUCCCGUAGCUCAGCUGGAUAGAGCAACUGCCUUCUAAGUAGUAGGUCUUGUGUUCGAAUCACAACGGGAUCACCA
rnacentral:tRNA from 2 species